rnacentral:rRNA from 1 species
AUUGAACGCUGGCGGCAGGCCUAACACAUGCAAGUCGAGCGGAUGAAGGGAGCUUGCUCCUGGAUUCAGCGGCGGACGGGUGAGUAAUGCCUAGGAAUCUGCCUGGUAGUGGGGGAUAACGUCCGGAAACGGGCGCUAAUACCGCAUACGUCCUGAGGGAGAAAGUGGGGGAUCUUCGGACCUCACGCUAUCAGAUGGGCCUAGGUCGGAUUAGCUAGUUGGUGGGGUAAAGGCCUACCAAGGCGACGAUCCGUAACUGGUCUGAGAGGAUGAUCAGUCACACUGGAACUGAGACACGGUCCAGACUCCUACGGGAGGCAGCAGUGGGGAAUAUUGGACAAAGGGCGAAAGCCUGAUCCAGCCAUGCCUCGUGUGUGAAGAAGGUCUUCGGAUUGUAAAGCACUUUAAGUUGGGAGGAAGGGCAGUAAGUUAAUACCUUGCUGUUUUGACGUUACCAACAGAAUAAGCACCGGCUAACUUCGUG